rnacentral:rRNA from 1 species
AGCGAACGCUGGCGGCGUGCUUAACACAUGCAAGUCGAGUGCGCAGUUCCGCUGUAGCAAUACAGUGGGAUGGGCGCACGGCGCACGGGGUGAGUAUCACGUGAACAACCUGCCCUUCGGACGGGGAAUAACCCCGCGAAAGCGGGGCUAAUACCGCGUACGAUUCCGGGGACUUCGGUUCCUGGUCUGAUAGCUCGCAAGGGUGGACGGAGGAGGGGUUCGCGGCCGAUUAGCAGUUGGCGGGGUAACGGCCCACCAAGGCAAUGAUCGGUAGCCGGUCUGAGAGGAUGGCCGGCCACACUGGAACUGAGACACGGUCCAGACUCCUACGGGAGGCAGCAGUGGGGAAUCUUGCGCAAUGGGCGAAAGCCUGACGCAGCGACGCCGCGUGGGGGAUGAAGCUUCUCGGAGUGUAAACCCC